rnacentral:piRNA from 1 species
UGAACGUUUCAUUGGAAUACU